UACAGAGGUGGCAAGCGUUGUUCGGAAUUACUGGGCGUAAAGGGCGCGUAGGCGGUCUUUUAAGUCUUGUGUGAAAUCCCUCGGCUCAACUGAGGAACUGCACGGGAUACUGGAAGACUUGAGUUCGGGAGAGGGAUGCGGAAUUCCAGGUGUAGCGGUGAAAUGCGUAGAUAUCUGGAGGAACACCGGUGGCGAAGGCGGCAUCCUGGACCGACACUGACACUGAGGAGCGAAAGCCAGGGGAGCAAACAGG
rnacentral:rRNA from 1 species